rnacentral:rRNA from 1 species
CCGAAAGGUGACCGACCUUCGGGAGCCAUUUACAGGUGUUGCAUUGGCUGUCGUCAGCUCGUGUCGUGAGAUGUUCGGUUAAGUCCGCUAACGAGCGCAACCCUCGCUGUGUGUUAUAUGUGUCACACAGGACUGCUGGUAUUAAGCCGGAGGAAGGUGGGACGACGUCAAGUCAGCAUGACCUUUAUAUCCCAGGGCUACACACACGCUACAAUGGUCAGUACAAUGGGUUGCCAAGCCGCGAGGCGGAGCCAAUCCUAAAAAGCUGGCCUCAGUUCAGAUUGCAGUCUGAAACUCGACUGCAUGAAGUCGGAGUUGCUAGUAAACGCAGGUCAGCUAUACUGCGUUGAAUACGUUCCCGGGUCUU